rnacentral:lncRNA from 1 species
CCUACCUUUAUUAUUGUUGAUAUUGCACGGAUUUUUUGACCGACUUUCCAGACUUUCCAGUCUAGCCGUGACGUCACGCGUCGUAUCCCGUGCGCUCCCCUGAGCGCGUGGUCCUGGUCGCGAGCACAUGGAAGUGAGGUCGAGAUUUGUGUCUGUGAGACGCGCGACUGAUCAUCAGAAAAAAAGGAAUAUAAAAGCGAUAAAACGGCAACAAAUACUAAAGUUGAAGCGUGGGCUGUUAAGAAAGUGUGAAGGCUGCCGACCUCCAAACGAAUCUGGCAGCAGGCACGUCUGCGACUGUCACACGGCGUGUUUAGGUGUCACAGGACAUCCUCUGACACCUGGUGUACAUGCAGCUCGGCCCUCCUUCAGACAGCCUUGGGGUUGUCACUCAGGAUCUCCAGUUGUCUGUGUGGAUGUAAGAAGGCAGGCGGUAAAGAGUUGAGGAAGUCUGCAAGAUAACCCAUAAUACACCAGUCAGAGUUAUGCAUCGUCUCGCGACAGGAAAGAUGCAUUAAGGUUUGUGUUUACAGUGACAUUUAAAGGUUUUGUGCAUCGCUAAAAUGUAUUCGAUUUUGAAGCAUUUUAAAGUACAUUCACUUCACACUUCACAGAGCUCAGCCUUCGUUCCUUUCCACUUGGAUCUGAUGGGGAGCCUUGAACACACUGAUCCCGCUCCCUUUUGAUGUGCUGACUGUCUGUCCCGGGGGUGGUUUUGAUUGCCUCUUUACUCCCCUCCUAUGUAAGUCAAUAGGAGCCAGCUUGCCAUCUGUGGGAAUUGAUACCUCUGCUGAAUCAUACUAUUAAAGUGCUCCUCCAUCUUCCUUUCCACUGUCUCUGCCCGCAACCUCUCUCACCCCUUCCCUCCUCUAUAACCCUCACCCCCCCCCCCCCAAGUCUUUUCUUACUGCUGGAGAUGCAGGAGACGUGUCUGCCAAAUGGAGCUAAGGCCGCGUUCUAAUCGAAAAUAGACCACUGCAUUACAAAAAGAUAGUGGUGAGAAGAUGAAAUACGAACGUCAUAGUCUAAUUUUACUCCAUGCCUUUUAAUGCUUAUUAGAUGCCACAUUGCACAGAACUAUAAUACAGGAUAACUCUUCUCCUGUCAAUACUUAUUUAUUAUCAGAUAUAUCCAUACAUCUGAAAGAAUGGGUCUCUCCUCUUAAGGAUCUGGUGACGCCUCAGAUGCUUUUUUAUUUAUAAUGUCUAAUGAUCAGAGUGCGAGCCUGUCAAUAAAGUGAUUUUCAGUAAAGUGUGACUGAUUGCGAAUGAAUAAAUCAAUCACUACUGAAUAAUAAUUAGUCAAACUCAACUAAAUGUGUAAAGUCGUCUGGUCACUCAGUAAGCCAGCCCCUAAAACAAAUGUUUUUUUAUUGAUGCGAUCAAUGGCGGCCCGUAAAGUAUUCCCCAGCUCCUCCCAUGUCCCUUUUCUAAGUUAUUCUUGGAGGACAGUUGUGAAAACAUCGAUACUGACAACAGAGGGGCGGAAUAGCAGCCAGCUGACACCUCUAGCCUCUAAUGGAGAUACAGUGUGAGGAGGAGGAGGAGAGUUUGUGCCACUGCUGCUGACUUGUCACUGAGAGCCCAGCAGGCUCUUCCUGCUCCUGAUUAAUGGAGCUGUCUACUGGGCUUCGCAGGGGAAGAGCAGGGCUGUUUUCCCAUUCACUGAGCCCCCGUUUAUUUGCACACAACAGAUGGGCCCCCUGGGGCCCCCGGCUCGUUUGCACCUUAUGCGCUCAGCAUCCUUCAUCUUAAUCAGUGAACAUGUUCCUGAGCAGGAGCCACCUGACCUACAGGUGACCUCUGUAACUUGUACACCUUCACAAAGUUACUCUAAAAAAUAACGGCUCAUUACCCCGGUAUUGUCAGGCAUAUUUCCUCUUUUCCUUUUUGUGUUCUCACUCGGCAGGAGGACGCCACACUGGGAGAGUGACAGAUUGUUACUCAGGUUUUAGUGUAUUUUAGUGCAGAAGUGAUAUGUAUGCUGCUAUAGUGCAGUUUGUCUUCUAAACAACACUAGUCCGCAUCAUUAGAAUCCCAUUUCAUGUCCGCUUUAAAGGGCAACCUGGACAUAUUUGGGGACUGUCUCUCACGUAAACUAUGCGGUGUUAGUGGUAAAAGGAGUAAUUAGUUGACUGAAAAUCUUUUAUUGGUCAAAAAUUACAAACAUUUGCUGUUCCAGCUCCUCAAAUGUAAACGUUUAUCUUCUUUUCUCUUUUUAUAUCAUAUUAAAUUGAUUAUUUUUUUACACUGUUGGUUUGUUUUCUUACAUUGUGUGGACGAAAUGAUCAGUCAAAUUAACUCGCAUGUAAACAUCAAUCCGAUAUGCUGGAUUGGUGCUGAUCAUAAUGUGACUGAUCGACAUUAAAUUAAGUUUUAGACAUCCGUUUCUUUGAAAACCUUCCAGCCCUCUCCACCAUAUGUAAAUAUGAUAUAUGUAAUCUAUUGACUGAGACCUCCCCAGAGGAUUAUGUUUCAGACAGUAACAGUUUCGGGUCAGAGUAGCAUGUGGUCGAUCCAAACGCUGUAAAAGUAGAAGUAAAACAGCCAAUUAAACAUUGUGUGUUUUUGUGCCAGAAUGUGUUUUUCUUCUUGUCUGAAUAACAUUAUGUACUUGUAAAUGUAAUCAUCAGCUUCUGCCAAAUUACACAAAUGCAGCACCAGACUGAAAA